rnacentral:rRNA from 1 species
UGGGGAAUAUUGGACAAUGGGCGAAAGCCUGAUCCAGCCAUGCCGCGUGUGUGAAGAAGGUCUUCGGAUUGUAAAGCACUUUAAGUUGGGAGGAAGGGCAUUAACCUAAUACGUUAGUGUUUUGACGUUACCGAAAGAAUAAGCACCGGCUAACUCUGUGCCAGCAGCCGCGGUAAUACAGAGGGUGCAAGCGUUAAUCGGAAUUACUGGGCGUAAAGCGCGCGUAGGUGGUUUGUUAAGUUGGAUGUGAAAUCCCCGGGCUCAACCUGGGAACUGCAUUCAAAACUGACUGACUAGAGUAUGGUAGAGGGUGGUGGAAUUUCCUGUGUAGCGGUGAAAUGCGUAGAUAUAGGAAGGAACACCAGUGGCGAAGGCGA